AUCAAGCCGGCUUUUAUUUUAGCAACCUACUUAAUAACCUUAACCUACUAGUUUUAUGUGGUAUAAUUUUUUCUCAUACUGAAUUGGGUUUCUUGAAGCUCAUUUUCUUUUUCUUUUUAAUCCUCACCCAAAGACAUGCUUAGAGAGAGGAAAGCAGAGAGAGAGGGAGAGAGAUCAAUGUAAAAGAGAAACAUCGAUCAAUUGUCUUCCGUACGUGUCCUGACCAGGAUCGAACCUGCAACCUAGCUAUGUGCUUUGAUUGGGAAUCGAACCAGUAACGUUUUGGUGCACAGUACGAUCUUAACCAACUGAGCCAAUCUGGCUGAGUUUAAAGCUCAAUUAAAAUUUUCAAAUCAAAACAGGAGAUACAGAGAAGAGGCAGCUAUUAGAGUGCUCUUAGAACAUUGGUAAUAUCACAGGUUUUUUGACUGAGGAGCAGUCUCCUAAAAUAUGAGUUGGCAUACACUUUUGGUUACCUACCCAAAAGCCAUUUAUCUUUCUCUUUUCCCUUCUAGCAAGGUCUGUUCCCCAUAACAGAUGCUAAAAAUGCCAGAUACUCUCUCUCCCACUCUCCUUGUGUGUAGGGCUGGCCAUGUGCCCAGGUCUGGUCUAUGAGCCUUUCAGCAGCACUCCUUCUAGAAAGAUUUUCCAUCCUGAUGAAAGCAAGCUAUUCAAGAACUUUCUUUCCCACCUCUUCCUUCCUGUCUUUUUCAUAGGCUUUGGGAGCUGUGGAGGCCUUAUCGCAGCCAUUAAGCGGCAGACAAAGACCAGCCAGAAGAACCUAGAAAGGUAGAGGGAAAUUUGUCCCUGCCCCAGUGGUGAAUCUGAACUUUACUAACAUUGCAAAGAGUUUUCCCCAAGGUGUGGAUCAUAUGUAAUACGCCCUGGCUGAUGUGAUCCAGUGGUUGGAGCAUAGACCUGAGCACUGAAGGGUCAAGGGUGUAUACCUGGGUUGCAGGUUCAAUCCCUACUACAGUUGGGUGACUCUUGCUACAUGAGCUUAAGCCCACCAUAGCAACAACAAUAGAGGAACCCUGCUUCCGAGUUACAUUUUCUCUGUUGAAGUACCUGCCUUCAUGCCACAAGAAUACAGAGAGAAGGCAGAUUCUCAGAGACUGGAGGAGGGGAGUCAUGGAACUGGUGAUGCCAAGAGGAAGACGCUGAGCCAAAGAAGAGUUUAAAAUAAGAGCUGUGUCAACAUGCAUAAAUUCACUUGCUUUGAAGAAGCUGCAAUGGUAUCCAGGAACAGGAAAAAAAAAUAUUGUUUUGCCUUUGCAUGCCAACAUGUAAUCUCUCUCUUUCUUCUACUCUUUCCUUAAAACAACAAUUGUCUGCAUGUAGGAUGAGUGUGUUUUAAAUGAACCAUUCAGUCCUUUUUGCCCCCUGUUCUCAUGUUCAGUACGGAGCGGCAACAUGAUAGAUUAGAAAUUCUCCUGACUUUGGAGUCAGACUGACCCACGUUCUAAGCCUUGCUCUGCUUCAGACUGCCCUGUGGCCUUGAGCAGGUCGCUUGGCCUUAGUCUCUAUGUCUUUAAACAGGAAAAAAACACCUUUUCUGGGUUGGGAGGCUUAGAAAUGACAUAUAUCAAGAGCUCACAGUACUUUACAAGUACUGUGGCCCCUAGUGGACAUUCCAUAAUGGAAGUGGGACAUAAGGACAGAGAAAAGGGCCCUGGCCUAGGAACUGGGGCAUCAUGGUCCUGGUCCCUAAGCCUUCAUUUUACUAUCAAGCACCUGACCUUGGGUUGCUCCCUCAAACUUUCUGGGUUUUAGUCCCAUUAAGGAAGGCGUAUUGGCUGGCGAGAAAUACAGGUCAAGUUUGAGGGCAUUAGCAUGCUGCCACUAAUGCAAAGGGGGAAGUUCUUCACUAUACAGCUGACUGCUGUGCUGUGGGAACAGAACAAGCAAAUGAGGGAUCAGCUCUGUCUGGGCUGCGGUGGCAUUUGAGCUGGGUCUUGAAUGCUCCAUUAUGGGCCUCCCACUGGAGAAAGGAAGUGUUUCAGGCGAGGGCAGAACCCUAAGGGUCCGGUCAGUGAGAAGCAUGGUGCUGCCAUGCAGUGCAAAAUGGUGGCUCACAUCCAGUCCCACUGCCGUCAGCUUCUGGGACUAUCUCUGACUGUUGAGUUGUAUCAAAGACAUUUUAAGAUCGGUGAACCUUCCGUGGGCUUUGGAAAUCUUUUAGCUCUACUGUAGGGAAAUGGUUACUGAAAUUGGAGUUGACCUCUAAAUCCCCAGGUACCCACCAUUUGGACUGGGCAGAGGAAAGUACCAGUUAAAUAUCAGUCUUAACUCAUCAGUAAUAACAAAUACUUCCACGGGGCUAUCUAUGUGCCAGGCACUGUUCACUGUUCUAAGUACUCGACUUCCAUUAAUUUGUUUAAACCUCAGGAUAACUGUAUGAAAGUGGUGCUGUUGCCCUGGCCGGUUUGGCUCUGUGGAUAGAGCAUCAUCCUGUGGACUGAAAGGUCUCAGGUUUGAUUCCAGUCAAGGGCAUGUACCUUGGUUGCGGGCAUAUCCUCAGUAGUAGGUGUGCAGGAGGCAGCUGAUCGAUGUUUC